GAGAUUUCACCCGUAACAUCCAGCAGCAAAACACCCUAAGUGGGGCUCCGGUUGUAGGUGCUGUGGUGCCUCAGUGCCCAGGGAUGCCUUUGUCUUCAUCUUCACUUUCUUCCUUCAAGGAUCGAAUGAGCAACUCGCAUUCUUGGAGGUAAAGUCCAAGUUCUAAUUCCUGCCUCACCUCCUGAUCAUCAGGUGGACUGCUGAGGCUCGAGCUCAGGAGCAACCCGUAUUGAAAAGUCUGCAUCCAAAAGGAUGGCCGCUCUUGCCUCUGGUUCUAAAAACUGUACGUAAUGACUCAGCUCUCACUAGAGCCAUAGUGCUGCAUCCAGUUUCCCUGCUGGUGGAAGCUCCAGUAGAACCUUCUCAUCCCCAGAGAAGCACAUGAGAGAAGUCCUAGCUGUCCUAGGAACUCCUUGCUGUAAUGAACUGCAUCCCCAAAGCCUCCCGCAUGCAAGCACCUCUGCAGCACUGAAGCGGUGAAUGAUGGCAUCAGAAGGCAAUAUGGAGAACGCAGUGGCCAGUUUCGUGUGGGACACACCUGAGCAACUGGGAGCUGAUGCUCCACCAAAACUCAAGAUGGAACUCAGCAAGAUCCAGCCCACAGGGGGUACAAGCACAGCACGACGGAGCUGUCACUAGCAGCACUUGUCAGCCUGCUGUACAGCUAUUACGGGCAGCCCUGCUACGUGGAGGGAACAGCAGACAUGCAGUGGUGUUGGUGCAUCAGGCUCAUGACCUCCUAGGGGGCAAUGUUCGGUGAGUAGAGCAGUGCCUUCCUGUUCCAAGAAGUCUAGAUGGCUGGGACUGUGAAGGAGCUCCAAGGAGGCUUUCCAAGUUCUAAGGAGCACACCAUUUUGCAGAGCACCCAAGAGAGAACAUGGGAGCGCUACAAACUGAUGGCAAAGUGGGACAUCACAGCCAACUGCUGCCUGUGUAAGGAGCUGACGAGAAACAAUCCCUCCCUCUCCAUCUGAUAGGCAGUUGGAAGAGACUUUUCGAUGUCGUCCAGUCCACCUCCCCUGCAGUGAACAGGAUCAUCUACAGCUGGAUCAAGUUGACCCGGGCCUGAUCUUAGAGAUCUUCUAUGUUACAGACUCUGUGAUUGGUACAACUCUAAGACUCACGCUCCCCUCUGUGUCUCUCCAGAGGUAGUUCUUUAACACUACAUUUCCCCACCCCACCAAUCUGUCCUCUCUCCAGCAAGUAAGUGGAGCUACAUAGACGUAAAGGGUGGAUGGUAAAGCCAGAUGAGCUCCACCCUGUCAACCGUUUGCUGAACUGCAUCACCAUCCCAAAGUCCCCUCCUGUCCCAUUCUGCACAAGAGGGACAAAGAUCCAGACAGCCCUUGGCCUCUGUUUCCCCUCCUCCAGCUCUGUGUGAUGACAUCCUUGUGGUGCAGGGUGACACUCAAAGGCCACAAGUGCCUUCCCUUCAGGCAUGACCUCCUCCAGUCUGUUUUCUUUCUGUUUCAUCUGCUUUGCUCUGCCCCAGGCAGCCUUGCCCAAGACCUCAAGUCUGCCAGCUCACCCUACCCUCCUUCCUUCCACUACUGAGCUGUUCAGGCUAAGCCAAGCACUUCUGACAGAAGUGCUGUCACAGCUGAUAAACCGGAAGUACAGAGGAUGUGGAAGCCAAGUGAUGGGUGAAGUAGAUGACCACCUAGAGAUCUGCCUGGAUCAAUUAAAAUUCCAGGCACUCCUAGUGCAUCAGUUGUCCAAGGCUCUGGACAGUUGUUGGCCCUUCAGUCCCUCUGCACAAAUGUUGCCAGGACAAUGACAGAAAUGGAAACAGAGGGAGUAGGGGAAGAGCUCAGUGCAGCUCUUGGGACUUGAGGAAGGUGGGUGCUCACUUUGUGCUACGUUAUAGCUUCAUCCAGGGGCAUGGAGUGGGUAGGAAAGCUGACUUAGUUUGCAACACCUCUACAUUCAAAACACAAGCACUUGGCCCUGAAGUGCAGCAGCAGCAGCACUCAGUCACCAACUACAUGGCAUACCUCUGGCCAGAGGUAAUGCGCUGCGCUCCACUGCUCUUUACAGAGUGGUUUUCAGGUCACUAUCACCCGAAUCCAUCCCUGGUGUUCCCUCAGGGAUUCAGGGCCAGGAUCACUCCUGUGAGGAAAGCAUAAGAGCACUGAGUUGUAGAGAGAUUCCCGACUCCCUUCCCUGAGGGUCUUCAAAAGCCAGCAGCACACAGGCCUGGGAAACCUGCUCUGAUGGUCCUGCGGGAGAGUUCAGAACCAGAUCAUACAACCUUACAGCCAUUCAGUUGGGAAAAGACCAGGUACAAUUGUUAACCUACACAAACAUAGAAUCACAGAACCAUACCCUCACAGAACUGGAGAAUUAACGGAGUCAUUCAGAUUUGUAAACAGCUGUAAGACUCAUUCCAGCAUCACGUAACACAAGUCCACCACUAAACUGUCCCCACACACCUCAUCUACAUACCUCUUACACCCCUCCAGGCAUGACGACUUCAUUAAGCAAAACUCCCCCCACCACUGACCCCUAACCAUGUCUGCUUCUGUGCUGCUCGGUCAGCAGGAUGAGGCAGAAGUUUAGCUAGCAAUUCCUGGGCACAAAGGACACAAGGGAGAUGGAUAGGUGAGUACCUGGGGCCUGGGAGUGCUGCCCCAUGCCCUGCAGUGAACAAGUAACCCCUAGAAGGCAGGGUGAUCCCCCAUACCUGCAUGCAGCCUGCUAGCCCACUUCCCUCCUGCAUUCUGCAGUACUCCUUCCCCUUGGGCCAGUUUCUUCCCCUGUGCUGAGAUGGAGUUCAAGUUGUGGGUGACAGUGGCCACCAUCACUGAGUACAAGCACUCCUCCUGGGACUGCCACUUAACCAUCAGGGAUCCCCUCUAGGCAGAUGGAGGCCAGACCACCUUCCAGCAUCCAUGCUGGGCUGAGGGCUGUUGAAACCACUCACCUCCUGCGUUUCCAGUGUCUCAUAGGUACCAUGAGUGGGUAGCUGACACAUCCCCAGUUAAAGUCCCUCUGACAAGCUCUGAUCAUUCACAGAGCAUGUCUAGCACUUCUGCGAUGCUUAUUCAGCCUUAGGUCAAUGAAAACCUGCUCCUGGAGAUGCCUAAUGCUGUAAGGCCAUUCUUUGCUGUGCAGAAGGACCCCAGCUUCUCCCCCCAUGGGCAUCAUUUUCCUUUCUGCCUCAUUCCUCUUCAUCCUUGUGCACUCCCUCCUGCUCUCCCACACCAUCAGGGCUGCAGGUACCACCCUUCGCCUUGACCUCAUUCCCAACAACCACAGACCAAAAAAGGUGAGCGUGACUGAUUCCCCGUGUCGUGAUUCCCACAAUGGUCACAUUCGUGCAGUCAAGGGACAAACGCUUCCUUAAAGAGCUUGGGUUUAAGUAGUGCAAGCAGUGCCAUUGGCAAAGAGGCUCCCAUGGGUAACCUUCGGACCCUCCUCCCCCAAUCUUCCUGUAGCUCUUCUUGCUUUGUCUCCCAUCAGAAUUACUCCUCAUGAGAUGGUUUUGCAGGCAGCGGACAUCUCAGGUCCUGCCAGCAGGAUACAUACAUUCACCUCCAUAUUGUCCUAACUUGGACCUAGCGGAGUGGAAUAACCCCCAUAACAUACCACUACACCAAUGAUCCCCUAUUGCCAUCUCACCAGAAGCAUUAGGAAAGGCAGUAGACUCAUUGAUUACUACCUACAAGAGAAGGGUGAGCUAUAAAGCCUCAGAAGGAACAAGCACCAGGCUUGUCACAGUGAAAGCCCUGCCUGUAGCUUGCUCAGGAAAGCCCAAAUACUACACAGUGCAAUACAGACAGUUCAGGUGUUCUGCAUCCCUACUGCACCAAGGCAGGUGCAAGAACUUCCGGGUCCACGCAAUACUGGCAUUACUCUUACACCUGCAUACCACAGCUGCUGUGGCCUUUCACCAACUCACAAAGGCCAAAAACAUGGCUGGAGGAAUGAAACAACGUCUUCCAGCAAGACAGAACUACCUUCUCAACAGGCCCAGGUGCUGGGUACACUCAAACCCACCCUUCCAGCUGAACUAGAAACACACGUAACUGAGAAUGGGUUUGGCUAGGGCCUGUGGCUGAGGCAGAACUCCAUUUAAACCCAGUUGUGUUCUGGUCUCAGUUCUGACACGGAGCAGAAGAGAAGCGUAGCAUGAAAAAGUUAUCUGGCUGCCUACUCUGCAUUAAAGGUGGUAGUGCCAAUAACCCACACCGCUGAAGUCUCACUUAAGGCAAUUUCUCCAAUUCAGAAGCAGGUAAAACAUCUGACCCACCUCCCUAAGGCACGGUACACCAAACAGACAGCAGCAUGAUGGAUCACCUACUUCAGCCAGUGCUGCAGUUUGUCUUUAUCACCCUUGGAAGAAGAGCUUUGGAAGAACCUAGGCAUGGUCUCAUUCGUGCAAGAAUCCAGAGCUGAAGUUCACUCCCAGCCCUGUGCAUCAGCCAGUGUCCCCCCUUGCCAUCCCAUAGAAUUCACCAACAGGUCCACAUGGGUCCAACCACACUCCACAUUCCUACAGGACAAUCAGGGAUACCCACAUUGUUACAAUAGGCCUAAGUUGUAGUGACUUAACAGGCCUGACGGUGGCUCGAUACACUUGACCAUUUGCUGUCUAGAGGGCACUGUCAGACACACACACACAAAGGUCCUCCUGUUGCCUCAAAAGUCUCACAGUGGUUGUGAGCUCCUUGAACCACAGAGGUAAGGAGCCCCGGUGCAGUGGGACCCACUGCUGGCCUCAGACUUCAUCAAGCCUUUAUGUCAAAGGGGUCAUGUGCAAAAGCAAUCUAAGAUAAAACCUCAUGAAAAAGCUGCACAUGAACCUUUAACUGCUUAGCAAGGAUCAGUAUUGGCAAGGUAUCUCAACAUCAAGGUGUGAGGGCUCUUUCUCCAGGUGUGAACUCGAGAGACAGCCGCACUCAAGGGAAAUCCUGUCAAUGAACCUGCUGUCGUGCAGGAGAGCUCGAGGGGCAGUUGGGCUGUCCGGCAUCUUUGAGGUAGGAUGAGUGCCAGAUUUUGUCUGAGUGCACUCAUAGUUGCCCCCUAGCUGUUACGUCUGACAGCAGUUCUUUUGACCCCCCCAGGCCAAGAUGCGUUUGUGACCAUUAAUCUGCUUUCACUAGAACACCAUCAAUACUGUUGCUCACAGUCUUUGUGGGCUAGGCCUAAUGUUCAAGGCCAGGACAAAGGAGGACAUUCAAAGGAAGAAAGCAAGUGUGGAGAGCAUGCUGGCUGUGCUGGGAAGAAAAUCUAGUAAGACCAGUGUUCCCAGUCAGAGUGCCAGGUGGCUUUUACCCCCAGGCAAUGCCCUGAAAAGGACUAGGGAGGGCUGGACUUGGACAGAAACAGCUACACCCCCUCACACCUCCCCUGCCCUUUCUUGCCUCAGCACGCUCCCAUGAGUCUUCUGCCUUUCACCAGCGAUCAUCUGAUCCAGACCUACAGGAAGGCUUCCACUCACAAAUAGACGAACUACACUAACUUGUAACAGCAGAUUGAGUAAAAGAGUCACAUACCUGA